rnacentral:rRNA from 1 species
GAUGAACGCUGGCGGCGUGCCUAAUACAUGCAAGUCGAGCGAACGGACGAGAAGCUUGCUUCUCUGAUGUUAGCGGCGGACGGGUGAGUAACACGUGGAUAACCUACCUAUAAGACUGGGAUAACUUCGGGAAACCGGAGCUAAAACCGGAUAAUAUUUUGAACCGCAUGGUUCAAAAGUGAAGGACGGUCUUGCUGUCACUUAUAGAUGGAUCCGCGCUGCAUUAGCUAGUUGGUAAGGUAACGGCUUACCAAGGCAACGAUGCAUAGCCGACCUGAGAGGGUGAUCGGCCACCCUGGAACUGAGACACGGUCCAGACUCCUACGGGAGGCAGCAGUAGGGAAUCUUCCGCAAUGGGCGAAAGCCUGACGGAGCAACGCCGCGUGAGUGAUGAAGGUCUUCGGAUCGUAAAACUCUGUUAUUAGGGAAGAACAUAUGUGUAAGUAACUGUGCACAUCUUGACGGUACCUAAUCAGAAAGCCACGGCUAACUACGUG